rnacentral:rRNA from 1 species
UUUGGGAGAAGAUUGAUCCUGGCUCAGAUUGAACGCUGGCGGCAUGCCUUACACAUGCAAGUCGAACGGCAGCACGGGUGCUUGCACCUGGUGGCGAGUGGCGAACGGGUGAGUAAUACAUCGGAACAUGUCCUGUAGUGGGGGAUAGCCCGGCGAAAGCCGGAUUAAUACCGCAUACGAUCUACGGAUGAAAGCGGGGGACCUUCGGGCCUCGCGCUAUAGGGUUGGCCGAUGGCUGAUUAGCUAGUUGGUGGGGUAAAGGCCUACCAAGGCGACGAUCAGUAGCUGGUCUGAGAGGACGACCAGCCACACUGGGACUGAGACACGGCCCAGACUCCUACGGGAGGCAGCAGUGGGGAAUUUUGGACAAUGGGCGAAAGCCUGAUCCAGCAAUGCCGCGUGUGUGAAGAAGGCCUUCGGGUUGUAAAGCACUUUUGUCCGGAAAGAAAUCCUUGCUCUAAUACAGCCGGGGGAUGACGGUACCGGAAGAAUACACGCGCUAUCUAU